rnacentral:piRNA from 1 species
UGCUAACAAUGACCCAGGUAGGGGUAGACAC